rnacentral:rRNA from 1 species
UACGGAGGGGGCGAGCGUUAUUCGGAAUUAUUGGGCGUAAAGGGCUCGUAGGCGGCCAACUAAGUCAGACGUGAAAUCCCUCGGCUUAACCGGGGACUGCGUCUGAUACUGGAUGGCUUGAGGUUGGGAGAGGGAUGCGGAAUUCCAGGUGUAGCGGUGAAAUGCGUAGAUAUCUGGAGGAACACCGGUGGCGAAGGCGGCAUCCUGGACCAAUUCUGACGCUGAGGAGCGAAAGCCAGGGGAGCAAACGGG